UGAAUAAGUGCAUAUCGUGGAUGCCUUGGCGAUUACAGGCGACGAAAGACGUUGUAGGCUGCGAUAAGCCUCGGGGAGCUGCCAAACAAGCUUUGAUCCGAGGAUUUCCGAAUGGGGAAACCCACCCGUAAGGGUAUCCCGUGCUGAAUACAUAGGCACGUGGAGGCGAACCCGGUGAACUGAAACAUCUAAGUAGCCGGAGGAAAAGACAUCAACCGAGAUUCCGAAAGUAGUGGCGAGCGAAAUUGGAACAGCCUGGAAGUUUUAGCAUCUUUGUUAACAGAACGCUCUGGAAAGUGCGGCCGUAGUGGGUGAUAGCCCCGUAUGUGAAAACAUUGGUGUGGAACUAAGCUUCGAACAAGUAGGGCGGGACACGUGAAAUCCUGUUUGAAGAUCGGAGGACCACCUCCGAAGGCUAAGUACUCCUUACUGACCGAUAGCGAACCAGUACCGUGAGGGAAAGGUGAAAAGCACCCCGACGAGGGGAGUGAAACAGUACCUGAAACCGAACGCCUACAAUCAGUCGGAGCACCCAUGCGGUGUGACGGCGUACCUUUUGUAUAAUGGGUCAUCGACUU
rnacentral:rRNA from 1 species